AGUACUUGGGUGUAGUACAUUUAAAGCCUAUAGAAGUACCAUGUUUAAGGCUAUAUAUCAUUUACCUGAAGAUGACAUAAUUCAUUACCUGAUAGUUCGUUCAUACAAACGAGAUUACAUUCAAGCUAGAAGAUAUUGAGGUAGAGAUGUUCUACAGGGUCGACAUGAGACCACAUGAAGCUAUCAUAUUUGUCUAUGUUAUCCAACUCAUGUGUUCUCAGGUCGCCCCUGCUGAAUUUUC
rnacentral:lncRNA from 1 species